ensembl:snRNA U2 U2 spliceosomal RNA
AUCGCUUCUCGGCCUUUUGGCUAAGAUCAAGUGCAGAAUCUCUGUUUCAGAGUCCCCCAGCCAUCACGGCGCCUGCGGUCCCUUUUUUUUUUUUUUUUUUGACAGGCAGAGUGGACAGUGAGAGAGACAGAGAGAAAGGUCUUCCUUUGCCGUUGGUUCACCCUCCAAUGGCCGCCGCGCUGAUCCGAUGGCAGGAGCCAGGUACUU